rnacentral:rRNA from 1 species
GACGAACGCUGGCGGCGUGCUUAACACAUGCAAGUCGAACGGUGAUGCUCCAGCUUGCUGGAGUGGAUCAGUGGCGAACGGGUGAGUAACACGUGAGCAACCUGCCCCAGACUCUGGAAUAAGCGCUGGAAACGGCGUCUAAUACUGGAUACGAAACUGGCCCGCAUGGGCAUGGUUUGGAAAGUUUUUCGGUUUGGGAUGGGCUCGCGGCCUAUCAGCUUGUUGGUGAGGUAAUGGCUCACCAAGGCGACGACGGGUAGCCGGCCUGAGAGGGCGACCGGCCACACUGGGACUGAGACACGGCCCAGACUCCUACGGGAGGAAGCAGUGGGGAAUAGUGCAAAAUGGGCGAAAGCCUGAUGCAGCGACGCCGCGUGAGGGAUGACGGCCUUCGGGUUGUAAACCUCUUUCAGCAGGGAAGAAGCGAAAGUGACGGUACCUGCAGAAGAAGCACCGGCUAACUACGUG